rnacentral:rRNA from 1 species
AGAGUUCGAUUCUGGCUCAGGAUGAACGCUAGCUACAGGCUUAACACAUGCAAGUCGAGGGGCAGCAUGAUUGAAGCUUGCUUCAAUUGAUGGCGACCGGCGCACGGGUGAGUAACACGUAUCCAACCUUCCGUACACUCAGGGAUAGCCUUUCGAAAGAAAGAUUAAUACCUGAUGGUAUCUUAAGCACACAUGUAAUUAAGAUUAAAGAUUUAUCGGUGUACGAUGGGGAUGCGUUCCAUUAGGUAGUAGGCGGGGUAACGGCCCACCUAGCCUACGAUGGAUAGGGGUUCUGAGAGGAAGGUCCCCCACAUUGGAACUGAGACACGGUCCAA